rnacentral:rRNA from 1 species
GCUUUCAAGAGUCAAGUUGUUUGGGAUUGCAGCUUAAAAUGGGAGGUAAAUUUCUCCUAAGGCUAAAUAACGGCGAGAGACCGAUAGCGAACAAGUACCGUGAGGGAAAGAUGAAAAGAACUUUGAAAAGAGAGUUAAACAGUACGUGAAAUUGUUGAAAGGGAAACGAUUGAAGCCAGUCGUACCUGCGGGUAAUCAGCCUUUUGGGCAUGAUUCUGUGGAGCGUGAGGAGUUAAACGCCUUCAUGCCUGCAUAUUCGUGUACUUUGGGUGUACUUGCCUGUGUGGUUAGUUAACAUCAAUUUUGGUUAUCAUAAAAUGGUUGGAGGAAUGUAGCUUCGAUUUCGAUUGAAGUGUUAUAGCCUUCGGCAGAUGUGAUGAUCGGGAUUGAGGAUUGCAACGGAUACCCUUCGGGGCUACCUGUCUGAUCUCUGAUCGUCGCUCUGGUGCCGAAAGCGUGCUUACGGUUAUCAAAGUCGAUGGUUAAUAGGUUAGAAUGGGUUAAAUUCGUUAAG